rnacentral:rRNA from 1 species
UACGUAGGGAGCGAGCGUUGUCCGGAAUCAUUGGGCGUAAAGAGCAUGUAGGUGGAUCAAUUAGUCUGCUGUGAAAGUCAAAGGCUCAACCUUUGAAAGCCGGUGGAUACUGUUGAUCUAGAGUACGGAAGAGGCGAGUGGAAUUCCUGGUGUAGCGGUGGAAUGCGCAGAUAUCAGGAGGAACACCAAUAGCGAAGGCAGCUCGCUGGGACGUUACUGACACUGAGAUGCGAAAAGCGUGGGGGGAGCGAAACAAGGAU